rnacentral:tRNA from 1 species
CUAUGGCCAAGUGGUAAGGCGUCGCACUUGUAAUGCGAAGAUCGCUCGUUCGAAUCGGGCUGG